UAUGCAAAAGCACCUCUGAAAUCGCUACUCAAUCACAAUCAACUCCACUCUCUGAAGUCUCAAGUCGCAACCACUGUCUCAAUCGCAACUCCACUCUUUGAAAUCGAGGAUGACGCCUCCCUCCCUCGCUGGAAAUCGACGACGACGACACCUUCCUUGCUCGACGACGAGACGACGCCUCCUUCCCUCGUCGGAAAUCGAUGACGACGACACCUCCCUUGCUCGAAAUCGACAACAGUGACGCCUCUUUCCCUCGCUUAAGCUUUGUAAAGGAUCCUCCAAAUUUGGAAGUUUUGUUUUGAUUAUUUGAUUGGAAGUUGCAGAAUUAUUUUACUCGAAUUCUGGAAGAUAAUUUGAAGUGCUGAUGUUAGCAUGAUGAUGUCAGCGGUCCAACUGGCCGAUUCGACCGGUAGAUUGGACUGUUCGACUCAUGACCCAGGCAGCAGAACGGGUUGCCCUUCGAUUCAGGUUUUAAAACAGUGAGACCGUGUUGCAUAUUAAUUUUUUAAUGUUCCAAAAUACGCAUUCUAAUAUAGAAUACAUUUAGUUUUAUCAAUUUUUUUAAUUUAUUU